AUUGAACGCUGGCGGCAGGCCUAACACAUGCAAGUUGAGCGGAUGAAGGGAGCUUGCUCUUGGAUUCAGCGGCGGACGGGUGAGUAAUGCCUAGGAAUCUGCCUGGUAGUGGGGGACAACGUUUCGAAAGGAACGCUAAUACCGCAUACGUCCUACGGGAGAAAGCAGGGGACCUUCGGGCCUUGCGCUAUCAGAUGAGCCUAGGUCGGAUUAGCUAGUUGGUGAGGUAAUGGCUCACCAAGGCGACGAUCCGUAACUGGUCUGAGAGGAUGAUCAGUCACACUGGAACUGAGACACGGUCCAGACUCCUACGGAGGCAGCAGUGGGGAAUAUUGGACAAUGGGCGAAAGCCUGAUCCAGCCAUGCCGCGUGUGUGAAGAAGGUCUUCGGAUUGUAAAGCACUUUAAGUUGGGAGGAAGGGUUGUAGAUUAAUACUCUGCAAUUUUGACGUUACCGACAGAAUAAGCACCGGCUAACUCUGUGCCAGCCGCCGCCGUAAAAC
rnacentral:rRNA from 1 species